UUAAGCUGUCAUCCUGUCACAUGCUACUGCACUUGUACGUGUGGCGUCUCCACAUCCAGCUGAUCAGCACAGAGGGAAGGGGUGCACAGUACAGUACAGUAUAGUAGAGGUUCUGUGUCUUGCUUCACUCAUUCUGUCCUUUAACUCUCCAGAAUGACGCGGCUAAAGGUUUUUUGGAUUCUCCAAGCCCUUCUGGGUUGCACGUUUGGUAGUGAUGUUAUCAAGCCAUUACAACAGGCUGUUCAUGUGGUGGAGGGAGCGUCGGUCUCCCUGUCCUGCAACUACACAGGAGGAACAGGCAGUGAGCUGUACUGGUAUCAACAGCUGCCUGGGUCAAGACCGGAGUUCAUCUUUUUCGUUAUGGAAUCGGGAUUUAACCGGACCGCUGAACAUCCCCUGCCCGGGGCGACUGUUCACAUUGAUAAGGAGGUGAAGCGCGUGGAUAUGAAGAUCUCCAUUGUGGCAGUGUCUCACUCAGCCCUCUACUACUGUGCUCUGAGGCCCACAGUGGCAGGAAGCUGGCAGAGGGAUGACAAAAACCUGACAGGAGAGGGAGGAAUAUAGUGUGUUUUAAAAUGGAUUUGCCAUGUUA